ensembl:lncRNA
GUUUAGAUUCAGCCCGGUUUUCCCCUCAUCUCCUCUUCCUACCAUAAAUAAUAAUAAAAAUACAUAAUGCAUCACGGCUUCAGGCGUUUUCCAGCGCGGUGUGUUACCGCAGGAGUAUCUGCUGAGUCUGCGGGUGUCUGCAAGGCCCCAAGUGUCAUCUGCGGCUUAGGGUUUCAUGGAUUAGAUUUUAAACGGUGUCUGGCCCAGUUGACAUCAGCCUCCUCGCACGCUCAGGCUCCAAAGAAUCGCGGGCUUGGGAGCUCCCUCUCCAAGCAGCUGCAGCUGCCCCAAAGCACCCCCUCGCUAGCAGAGUGGGAGUCCUCUCCCACCUCUGGAGAAAGGUUCCCCGAGGCUUCCGGGAGCGACUCGGAUGGAUGCGUUCCAGCCUCUGGCGUGAGCGUCAUGUGAUGACCACACUCGGUCGUUCAGGGCGCGAGUGGGGGCGGCGGCCAGUCUGGGAAGGCCCUUCCCGCGCGGCCGACAGCCAGGGCGAGAGCGGAGGCCGCGCACAGCCAUUUAAAACUGCAUGAAUUAUAAACAAGCCGCCUUGGCCUUCGCCAUAAAUUCUGCUCUUUUUGAGCCUGCAAUUAGUGUUAGGAAGCACCGGAGUCUAAACACAACCAAACACCCUCUGAAGGGCCCAAGUGCCCGAGGUUGCAAAGCUUUAUUUAUUUCUCAUUGCCACCCCCUCCGCGGCCCGAGGUUUGCGACCACAGUCUCCUCCUCCCCCGUCACCGCCGGCGGUACGCAGCCGGCUGGGUUCCCGCUCCGCGAGGGAAGGUCACAAUAGCUGCUCUAUCGGCGGAGGCGCCCGCCUCCCCCCUCUCGGGUCUCGGGAAGGCAGAGAAAGGACGGUGGGGGAGGGGAGCUCGGGCCGGCAAUGGCGCCCCAGGCCCAGGCAGCUCCUUCUCCCGCGGAGGACCUGCAGCGGGAAGAGGCACGUCUGCAGCGGAAGGACACCGCCACUCCAGACCGAGGCUUCUUCCCGGGAGCGGCGCGCGGGCUCCGUGGGGAGCUCACCACGGUCUCGAGGAGGCUGCUCGCUGGCCCCUAGCCGCCGCGCGCUGCUGGAUCGAGGGCGCCCGCAGCAGCGGACCUUCCGGGAGCAGCGGCGCCAUUGUGAGCGCGGCUUCCCACGGGCCCCGCGGCCGGGAAGCCGCACAAAGGCGGCAAGGCGUCCGACACCCGCAGGCCAGACCCAGCGUUCUGAAGCACUGUAAACAAAAGGUUUCCACACACGAAGAACCAAGGUUAAUGGAUGUCCAGUCAUUUGCAGUAGCAGAAGCAGUCAUGACUCUGCUACUCUAUGGACUGUAGCCUCGCAGACUCCUCUGUCCAUGGGAUUUCCCAGGCAAGAAUAUUGGAGUGGGUUGCCAUUUCCUCCUCCAGGGCAACGAUGCCAUCUCCGUCGCCGGCAAAAACACACAAAGGAGGCCCCCACCCAGGCUCGAACCUGGGGGCACACUGGAGAGAGGGCUGGCGUGGACCCCGAGUCGGAGAGCCUCCCACCCCCACGGGGAGCAAUAGCUGCCGCCUCCCCGGGGCAGUGGGGCGGUCGCGCCGCACAAAGGCCGGCUCGGCUAGCGCCAUGUGACGCGCGCUCGACCCGCUCUCCCGGCGGCGCGGCGGACGGGUGCGUGUUCCGACCCACCUGAACACUUUCCGAAAGACAAACGCGGUUCCUCCUACUUCGGAGCAAGUCCGGGCCAGCUGGGAUCCGACCAGAAACCGCAAGCGGAGGAGACGCGGGUACGCAGGCUGAGGGUAACGGAGGGCGCGACCUGCCGCCCCGCGCUCUGCCGCGCCAGGCCCGAGGGUAGCGCCUCCCGGUCCUCCCCGCGCCAGGGACGGCAGCCGCCCAGCAGCCCCGCCCGUGGGCCAGGCAGGGCGCCGGGUGCCCGGAGC